AUAUCAGAUAGGGCAAGGCUUAUAAAAGCCACUAAAGUCACCCCCCCCCUUGCUUCCUCCCAGGCACAUAAGAAUUCAUCUCGCGAUGUCAUCCACUCAAGGGCACGAGCUUCCAAGUCUCCUUGGGUAACUAAUUUUAAUACCUGACAACACUUUCUGUCAUGAUGUUUUCUCUUGCAAACAAUGCAACUGAGCUGCCUCUUGUCUUUUUUUUUUUUUUCCCAAACCUUAAGGAACAAGGUGAACAAUUGGUCUCAAUUCUUCAUAAAAUCGUCGGAACUCAUCACCAGCCUUUUAUGAAUCGCAUCCAAGCUAAGGAUGGCCUCUGUUUGUUUUGUUUGCAGUGACUGUCUUUAGAAGGAUUCCCCCUUACUUCAUCAUAUUUUUCAACCAGGGCUGAAUUUAUUGCUCCACAUAUUUAGAAACAUGUAUUUCUGCAAGGGAUGAAUGUAAAAUAAUAUGCCCUUUAGAGCCAGGGUCUACAAGGGAAUUUCUAGGCAGCGGGCUGAGAAAAGAGACCGCUCAAGGAGAAUAUUAAUGGCUGUGAUUACAAAGAGGGCGAGUAAUUGGUUCAAGGCGUAAGCAAAUAAAGAGGAAAAGCGAACAGAAGGGCUAACUGAGCCAUCAAAUGUGCCUCAAGAUUAGCAUCGUUCAGAAGGGACAUGCGUUAAAGGUGGAUUUUGCUUGAAAACAAACGCCACGUUGACUCUGUGUCAAGACGGUACUCAACUGUAAGAAGUGGGAGAGGAGGAAAGAGAGCCCUUCACGUGUGUCAAGAGAGUAUUCAAGGGGAGAGAAAAAUUACUGGAGAUCCCUACCCUAGGAGUCAGCUUUCAUCAAGGAAGAAACUCCUCUCCUAAGCCACUUCUAGCUGCUGCAGUGCUGUGACUUGACCUGUCUGUGAACGUCACAAGGAGAGACUGAACAAGAAGUGUGUGAACGGGAUGAGAGGGGAGAGAAGAACUGGUUCCAGAGUUGCCACAGCAUCCCUUUCAUUGGCCAAAGAAAAAUAUAAUAGCAUCCUGGAUUUAAGGAGUGGAAAGUCAGCUUCUAUCCUGCUAGGACGAGCCAAUAAGAUACCUCACAAGAAGAACGCUACUGGGAAGGGAAGGAAAAUUACAGGCAUCUGUCCAGUCUGCUACAUGCAUCAUGAAAGACUAGAGCACCUUGGAGUUGAGAGCUGGAUGAAACCCUUGUCUGCUAACAGGAAAAAUAAAUACAGGUGUUCCUUUUCCCAUCUUGGCGAAAGGUCUUGUUCCCUUAAUUCCAUUUUCAUUCUGUGUAAAAUGGAGGCAAAUAGUACUAUGUGCAAACCAACUAUGGAGAUGCCAAGUGUCUGUGCGUUUGUUAAAUCUAAAGGCACCGUUGCUGGAAGUGGGGAGAAAUAAAGCUGACCACUAUUCAUUCGUUGUCUCUGCCAUCUGUCUGGAAGGUUGCUCUUCUUAGCUGUUCUUGAGAGAAGAGGGCAGGAGCAGAAG
rnacentral:lncRNA from 1 species